rnacentral:rRNA from 1 species
UACGUAGGUGGCAAGCGUUGUCCGGAAUUAUUGGGCGUAAAGCGCGCGCAGGCGGCUUCUUAAGUCUGAUGUGAAAUCUCGGGGCUCAACCCCGAGCGGCCAUUGGAAACUGGGAAGCUUGAGUACAGAAGAGGAGAGUGGAAUUCCACGUGUAGCGGUGAAAUGCGUAGAUAUGUGGAGGAACACCAGUGGCGAAGGCGGGUCUCUGGGCCGAUACUGACGCUGAGACGCGAAAGCGUGGGGAGCGAACAGG